GACGAACGCUGGCGGCGUGCUUAACACAUGCAAGUCGAGCGGUAAGGCCCUUUCGGGGGUACACGAGCGGCGAACGGGUGAGUAACACGUGGGUGACCUGCCCUCAGCUCUGGGAUAAGCCUGGGAAACUGGGUCUAAUACUGGAUAUGACUCCACGGUGCAUGUCGUGGGGUGGAAAGCCUUGUGCGGCUGAGGAUGGGCCCGCGGCCUAUCAGCUUGUUGGGGGGUGAUGGCCUACCAAGGCGACGACGGGUAGCCGGCCUGAGAGGGCGACCGGCCACACUGGGACUGAGACACGGGCCCAGACUCCUACGGGAGGCAGCAGUGGGGAAUCUUGCGCAAUGGGCGAAAGCCUGACGCAGCGACGCCGCGUGAGGGAUGACGG
rnacentral:rRNA from 1 species